UCCCCUCUCCCAGAAACCAUCAACUAUCCAUGAAGUUGGUUCUCAUUAACUUCUCUCCAUUCCAUGUUCUUACUUUUUAGAAAAGAAGAUUUGGUCAACAGUGUAGUUGGGUUUUGGGAUAAGGAUAUCCAACCAGAAGACAAAUACAUACUUGGGGGUAAUAUAGAAGUACCAAAUUAGAUAUAUGGAACUGUUCCUGGUAUCUGGAAGCUGAGAAGUCCUGAGGAUAAUAAGGAUGCUUCAUGUCUUAGAUGGAAGUCGAGCUCAAGAAGAGAGAAAGGGGUCUUGUUUCCCACCCACACCUAAAAUAACCAGGGAACAAAACUCCAAAGGACACCAAGGUGAUCCAAGCUGUGCAGCGAUGUGCAACUGGAAAAAUGAGGUCUGGCAGACAGAUUCACAACUCGAUGAGGAGCAUUUGGUGACAGAUAUUGACCACAGGGCUUUUCACGUGCUCCACCACCCUGAGCCUCAUCCACAGCCAAGAACAUGUAUUUUGGAAUCCACAGAACAAUUACAUCUCUUUGGUGUUGAUAUCUGUCCUAGAUCACCGGUUUUAAAAUAAUUGUUAACAGUUAAGUGGCAUAAUUAUUUUUUAAAAUGAAAAUAACUUUAAAAUCCUGUAAAAGAAUAUGAUUCAGCAAUGGUGAAUAUUCAAAGAUGCUAUUUGUCAUUAUGAGAGAUGUCUUUGCAAUCUUAAAGUACUGUUGCC
rnacentral:lncRNA from 1 species